rnacentral:rRNA from 1 species
GAAUUCACUAGUGAUUCAGGCCUAACACAUGCAAGUAGAACGGGAUUAAGGAGCUUGCUUCUUAUGAGAAAGGCGCACGGGUGCGUAACACGUAUGCAACCUACCUUCAACUGGGGGAUAGCCUUCCGAAAGGGAGAUUAAUACCGCAUAACAUAAUUGAGUGGCAUCACUUGAUUAUCAAACGUCAGGGUUGAAGAUGGGCAUGCGUCCGAUUAGUUAGUUGGUGAGGUAACGGCUCACCAAGGCUACGAUCGGUAGGGGAUCUGAGAGAAUGGCCCCCCACACUGGUGGGGAGACACGGACCAGACUCCUACGGGAGGCAGCAGUAAGGAAUAUUGGUCA